rnacentral:lncRNA from 1 species
UUUUCUUCUUCUUCAACGUCCUCCAAUGCAGGCAUGUCCUCAAACUCUCCUUCACUUUCACUCACCACCUCUCCAUUAUCCAACAAAACCAUUACCCGUUUAUUUGGGCAUUGAGAAGCAAUGUGCCCGGACCCCAAGCAUCUGAAACACUUGAUGUCUCGAUUCCUUGAUGGUUGUGAAUCUGUUUUGGGUGCUGUUUUGCUAGCACUUUCUUUUUUCCCUUUCUG